UACGGGGGGGGCAAGCGUUGUUCGGAAUUACUGGGCGUAAAGGGCUCGUAGGCGGCCAACUAAGUCAGACGUGAAAUCCCUCGGCUUAACCGGGGAACUGCGUCUGAUACUGGAUGGCUAGAGGUUGGGAGAGGGAUGCGGAAUUCCAGGUGUAGCGGUGAAAUGCGUAGAUAUCUGGAGGAAUACCGGUGGCGAAGGCGGCAUCCUGGACCGACAUUGACGCUGAACGGCGAAAGCUAGGGGAGCAAACGGG
rnacentral:rRNA from 1 species